ensembl:lncRNA
UGACUCUUAAGACCUACUCGGCUGUUAUCGUUGUUGUUUUUCUGCACGAUAAAGUCCUUUGUCAAUUCUUGCUCCGGACCCCUCGUUUUAUUUUACUCUCUCUCUCUCUUGAAUUAGUCUGAGUGUUUAUAUCUCGAUUAAUCUACUACAUAACUUGGCGUCACGAACAGGAGGAAAUAGGGACUCUCCAGCUGCCGGGCCAGAGGACGGGACUCGAACGGAUCAUACGACCAGAGCUCAAGGAGAAAACAUAGAACCACCACUGGGAUUGGUGAUUCUGUGGCUCUUGGAGACUCUGCAUCGCGUCGGAACACCAUGUGGUAUAGAUCAUUACAUCUUGGUACACAGAGCACUGGUGAGACAACGGGUUGGAUCAGAGGGAGAAGGUGUUUGGAAAAGGGAGAGGAAUAGGUAAUAAAUCAGCGGAGAGGAGGCUGGGGGUCGGUUUAGCUCAGGAAGUAGAGGGUGUCUUGUAACCGAAAGGUUGCUAGUUCGAUCCCCAUCUCCUCCUAGCUGAGUGUUGAUGUGUCCCUGAGUAAGUUAC